rnacentral:rRNA from 1 species
GACGUAGGGGGCGAGCGUUGUCCGGAAUUAUUGGGCGUAAAGCGCGCGCAGGCGGUCCUUUAAGUCUGAUGUGAAAGCCCACGGCUCAACCGUGGAGGGUCAUUGGAAACUGGGGGACUUGAGUGCAGAAGAGGAAAGCGGAAUUCCACGUGUAGCGGUGAAAUGCGUAGAGAUGUGGAGGAACACCAGUGGCGAAGGCGGCUUUCUGGUCUGUAACUGACGCUGAGGCGCGAAAGCGUGGGGAGCAAACAGG